AGGGAAUCUUCGGCAAUGGACGGAAGUCUGACCGAGCAACGCCGCGUGAGUGAAGAAGGUUUUCGGAUCGUAAAGCUCUGUUGUAAGAGAAGAACGAGUGUGAGAGUGGAAAGUUCACACUGUGACGGUAUCUUACCAGAAAGGGACGGCUAACUACGUGCCAGCAGCCGCGGUAAUACGUAGGUCCCGAGCGUUGUCCGGAUUUAUUGGGCGUAAAGCGAGCGCAGGCGGUUAGAUAAGUCUGAAGUUAAAGGCUGUGGCUUAACCAUAGUACGCUUUGGAAACUGUUUAACUUGAGUGCAAGAGGGGAGAGUGGAAUUCCAUGUGUAGCGGUGAAAUGCGUAGAUAUAUGGAGGAACACCGGUGGCGAAAGCGGCUCUCUGGCUUGUAACUGACGCUGAGGCUCGAAAGCGUGGGGAGUAAACAGGAUUAGAUACCCUGGUAGUCCACGCCGUAAACGAUGAGUGCUAGGUGUUAGACCCUUUCCGGGGUUUAGUGCCGUAGCUAACGCAUUAAGCACUCCGCCUGGGGAGUACGACCGCAAGGUUG
rnacentral:rRNA from 1 species